rnacentral:rRNA from 1 species
UACGAAGGGGGCUAGCGUUGCUCGGAAUUACUGGGCGUAAAGCGCCCGUAGGCGGAUUGUUAAGUCGGGGGUGAAAUCCUGGAGCUCAACCUCGGAACUGCCUUUGAUACUGCAAGUCUCGAGUCCGAUAGAGGUGGGUGGAAUUCCUAGUGUAGAGGUGAAAUUCGUAGAUAUUAGGAAGAACACCGGUGGCGAAGGCGGCCCACUGGAUCGGUACUGACGCUGAGGUGCGAAAGCUAGGGGAGCAAACAGG